UUGCGUCAAACAUUUAGUACGAAAGUUAGCUAGAUCAGUAUAUAGGUAUGAUACGUUGCCAUAGAUCGCUCAGUCGAAUUUAUGCGCGCGCGCAGACCGUACAAAUCCUAACGAAGUCGUGUUUGUGGUACUUACGAGUAUUUUGUGGAUUUUUUUAAACAAUUUUUUUAUGAUUGGAAGUGAUUUUAUGUGAUCGUUUUAAUAGAAGCCUGAAAGAUGGUUGUGGGCACUUUACAGCACGUCCCUAGUAAGGGACGGAUAUCCAUUAUGAAAAUACAGAACUUUACAGUACAGAAAAGACAUUCCGUGAUAAAGCUCUCAUAUGGGAUCCUACUGAUGAUCAUCGGAGUGGUGAUGGCUGCUAUCAAUCCUAUAAGCAUCAUCAGUAAUUGGUACAUGGACAUGCGGGAAGGUUCGUUUCUAUACAAAAUGUGGGAGAACCCUACGUACGAGAUGUUUUCCGAGAUGUGGGUGUACAACUAUACCAACGUGCAGGAGUACCUCAGUGGGGAACAGAAGAUCCUGAAAGUCCAGGAAGUCGGCCCGUUUAUGUUUCAAGAACAUCGAACGAACGAGAACAUUCGAAUAGACAAGGAGCGAGGCGUGAUGACGAUGAACCCCAAGCUGGAGCUGAAGUUCCUCGCCGACCAGUCGAUCAAUGACCUCAGCAAUGUUACCGUCAAGAUACCUAAUAUACCACUUAUUGCAAUGAGCACGCUUGCAGCUGACAAACUAGGCUACUUCGCAAAUGCUGGUGCCUACUACUCCAUGUCGGCUCUCGGCUCCAAACUCUUCAAGGACCUGACCGUCCAGGAGAUGUUCUGGGGGUACAACGAUCCUAUCGUCACGAUUGCCAACUCUUUGCUGCCUGGCUGGAUCGAUUUCAAGAAAAUUGGAUUGCUUGAUCGGUUUUAUGCACAAAAACUGGAGUGGUCUGAAGUGGAACUUGGUAACGUCAGUCGGAGGUACUCCUUGAAUGCUUGGGAUAACAGCAGUGGGCUGCUGGAGCAGGGAUUCACGGACUUGGAUUCUAGUACACCCUGCAACAGGAUCCAAGGUUCAUACGAAGGUCUGAUGCUGCCAUCCAACUAUGCCAAGGGUCGGAACAUCACCAUCUUCAGAAAACAGGCUUGCAGAAACUAUCCCUUCAGCUUUGUUAGUGAACACGAGAGUGAAUUGGGACUUGAUUCUUAUUUGUACACGAUGGACAAUACAGCUUUCAGUAACGACUCUCCGUUUGCCUGCAACUGCUCCGGCGAGUGUCCCCCUGAAGGAUUCGUUGAUGUCAGCAACUGUUACUAUGGUUUCCCUAUUUAUCUGUCAAAGCCACACAUGAUGGACACGGAUCCAGUCCAGCAGGCAUACUAUGAGGGUAUGAAGCCAGAUCGCAAGAAGCAUACCUCACAUUUUGAGUUGGAACCUGUACUUGGAGCGCCUCUAAGCUUUUCGAUAAAGAUUCAAAUCAAUCUUGCCGUAAGAGUGUCUCAAGGAAAUCCCAUCACGGCUCCAGUUAAGGACAAGGUCUUGCCUCUCAUGUGGUUUUCAUUGUACUGCAAAGAACCACCACCAGACGUAGUAACCCUACUCCGACUCCGUCUCGUCAUCGGUCCCCCAUUAGUCAUCACUUUGGAGGUCAUUCUAUUCCUCAUAGGCCUCGUGCUGGGAGUCCAGGGGGCCCACAGGAUCUGGAAACCUAAGUACAAGAUCAUACCUCCCAAGGAGAUCCCCAUUCCUAUCAUAAGGAGGAAGAGUUCUGAAAGGAGAAGGAGUAGUGUGAUUCUAAAUAUGGCUGAUAAUGUUGGGUUUACAUGUAAGGAUGAUGAAGAUUUGGCUAAGGAAGCAGUUUCGCUCCUAGCUAUCAAUGAGGACGAUAAUGAAUUUGUAGAUCUACUGGUCAGUUCUGACAACGAAUGAGGAGAUUAGUAUAGAUAGAAAUAUUUGCUCAAUUUUUAUACAUUCCAAGUGUGACUUUAGCAGUUUCCUUAGCCUUUAUUCUGAAGGUACGAAAAGUUUUGAACUUGAGUUCCAUUCCGAAGUCUUUUAGGAUAUCUUAGAAUAAUAAUUUAUAUGUAUUUAAUCGCAUUUUAGUGCAACCUGUUUUUUUAUACUGGCUCAAAUUUUAGGUAUAAUAGAUGAAGCAGGUUACUGACGGUUAAAUAAUAAUGAUUUUUUCCUAUAUUUCCACCUAUAUUAACACGAGUUAUUGUGCGAAAUGCCUACAUUUUGCUAGCGGGUAAGUUAGUAAAUGUUACGGGUACAAGCUAUGUAUGUCUGAGCGUUGUCGGUAUUAAUGGCUAUGUGACGAAUGGUUUUUGACAACGACCGGGCAAUGUGAGUUUAUUUAUGUUUUGCCAUUAUUGUUUUAAGUAGUUUAAAUUCCGCUGGCGGCUUAGCUGGUAGGGUACGUCCUAGGUGGGCCACUGGCGAACACAAAGCGAUCUGACGGAUCUGCGCUGCGCAGUGUCACGUUGGUUACUUCAAAGGAAAUCGCGCUGUUUCGAUUCUCGUUCGCAUCCAGAUAGCUCAUGUAGGACGCACCCUAACGGUAGAUAUUAAAUAAAUUGCUCAAUAUUAAUUAGUAGAAGUUAGAAAGGUGUAAGGUUAUCAUAUUCAGACGUGUGGAAUGUCUGUUUUUGCCUCAAUUAAUGUUAUUUUAUUCCUUGUUUUGCCUAUUGAGCUGAAAUCAUAGGUAUGUAGACUGUCUAGUGACGUGUUUUUAUAUUUUGACGGACCACUCUCGAACUAGGGUUUAUCGAACGCUUAUCGUUUUUCUAUGAAAUCUUGUAUAACGAGUGUUAUAAAAUUCUAGCUUCCUGCGGUUUCAUCCGCUCCCCUGGGGAACCUCUUCCAGCACGAGGAUAAAAGAACCGAUUUCCAUUUCCUAAAUCGUAAGUUACCUCCCCAAUAAUUUUCAGCAUAAUCGGUUUAGUCGUUCUGGGGCUGUAAAUAGUGCAACCAAUAUGACUUUUUAUAAUGAUAUCUCUAUAAACAUGACAUUGAAGAUUAUAUGAUGUAUGAGAACAAAUGUUGCAGAAAACCAGUCUUCAUGAUCCCAGUAUUAAACUUUCAUUAAUCAGCCUUUUAAUUCAUGACAAUGUAUGCUAUAAAACAAUUAGUGGGAUCAGUGUAGUUAUUUUUAGCAAUUGUGAUAUUAAUUUUAGUUUUAGUUUUAAGUCAAUUGUAAAUAAACUGUAAAUAUUUAAUUUAAUAGACUGAUGGUGAAAUGUUUUUUUGAUAAUUAAAUAAAGUAUUUUUCAAGAAA